rnacentral:rRNA from 1 species
GUCCACGCCGUAAACGAUGGAUACUAGCUGUUCGGAGCAAUCUGAGUGGCUAAGCGAAAGUGAUAAGUAUCCCACCUGGGGAGUACGUUCGCAAGAAUGAAACUCAAAGGAAUUGACGGGGGCCCGCACAAGCGGUGGAGCAUGUGGUUUAAUUCGAUGAUACGCGAGGAACCUUACCAAGGCUUAAAUGGGGAUUGACCGGUUUGGAAACAGACCUUUCGCAAGACAAUCUUCAAGGUGCUGCAUGGUUGUCGU